ensembl:misc_RNA
UUAACAGCCUUGAAGGCCGAAGUUCUCUCUCUGUUCCCUGAACAGGUACAGCAUGUGCUCUGGUAAAGCAAUUUUCCCCAUACUUCCCUCCAGUGUGCCUCAUCUCUGACAUGGAAGGACCACUUCUAAGCAAGAGAGAGGAGUUCAAUUUCCAUGAUCCAUUCAGUGUCUGGCCUCU